rnacentral:ribozyme from 1 species
UUUUUUUUUUUUUUUUUUUUUUGUUCACGAUACUACGAUUUCUGCAUUCGGUUAUUGAUGCAUGAUCGCAGCAAGGAAUCGCUGUGUUGCGCUUCAUCCUUGCUCAAAAGAAACGAAGAG